CACGAGUAAUUUUGAUAAUGUCCUGUGUGUCCGGGGAAGUAAUUCCCCUAUUAUUGGCUUUUAGCAAGAAUUUAUAAUUAAAUCAGGGAGGAGAAACGCUGGCAGCCGACACUAUGUCACAUUUAUUUCAAGUGUAAUGCCACAGUUUCAUGGAUGGUCACUUAGGCAUUGAAAUCGUGCAGCUAUGAGGGAGCAAAAAGGAGGCUAGCCCGCCUUGAGAAGGUGCACUUUUACAAACAGCUUGUUAUCUGAUGCUGUGGUCUGCAGUUCCCUAAAACAUUUCCAGGGAAGAAACGUUGAAGGAAGCAUUUCUCAUGAGGAAUCAGUCUACGUACAUGGCACGUUUCUUGAAAAAGCUGCUCGGCCUACGUUUGCUUUCCAGAAGAACCGCGAUGAUUUUUCUUUUCCCGCUGUUUUUAAUAAUUACAAUAAAAUGUGUGACUGGCCCAAACAGGUGUC